UACGGAGGGUGCAAACGUUGCUCGGAAUUAUUGGGCGUAAAGCGCACGUAGGCGGUUUGUUAAGUCGGGUGUGAAAGCCCUGGGCUCAACCCAGGAAGUGCAUUCGAAACUGGCAAGCUUGAAUAUGGAAGAGGCGAGUGGAAUUCCUGGUGUAGCGGUGAAAUGCGCAGAUAUCAGGAGGAACACCGGUGGCGAAGGCGGGUCUCUGGGCAGUAACUGACGCUGAGGAGCGAAAGCGUGGGGAGCGAACAGG
rnacentral:rRNA from 1 species